rnacentral:rRNA from 1 species
GAUGAACGCUGACAGAAUGCUUAACAUAUGCAAGUCAACUUGAACUUCGGUUUGGGUGGCGGACGGGUGAGUAACGCGUAAAGAACUUGCCUCACAGAUAGGGACAACAUUUGGAAACGAAUGCUAAUACCUGAUAUUAUGAUUAUAUGGCAUCGUAUAAUUAUGAAAGCUAUAUGCGCUGUGAGAGAGCUUUGCGUCCCAUUAGCUAGUUGGAGAGGUAACGGCUCACCAAGGCGAUGAUGGGUAGCCGGCCUGAGAGGGUGAUCGGCCACAAGGGGACUGAGACACGGCCCUUACUCCUACGGGAGGCAGCAGUGGGGGAUAUUGGACAAUGGACCAAGAGUCUGAUCCAGCAAUUCUGUGUGCACGAUGAAGUUUUUCGGAAUGUAAAGUGCUUUCAGUUGGGAAGAAAAAAAUGACGGUACCAACAGAAGAAGUGACGGCUAAAUACGUGCCAGCAGCCGCCGUAAAAC